rnacentral:rRNA from 1 species
GAUGAACGCUGGCGGCGUGCUUAACACAUGCAAGUCGAACGAAGCAUUUUACCGGAAUUUCUUCGGAGAGGAAAGUGAAAUGACUGAGUGGCGGACGGGUGAGUAACGCGUGGAUAACCUGCCAUAUACAGGGGGAUAACAGUUAGAAAUGACUGCUAAUACCGCAUAAGCGCACAGUAUCGCAUGAUACGGUGUGAAAAACUACGGUGGUAUAUGAUGGAUCCGCGUCUGAUUAGCUAGUUGGUGGGGUAAUGGCCCACCAAGGCGAUGAUCAGUAGCCGACCUGAGAGGGUGACCGGCCACAUUGGGACUGAGACACGGCCCAAACUCCUACGGGAGCAGCAGUGGGGAAUAUUGCACAAUGGGCGAAAGCCUGAUGCAGCGACGCCGCGUGAGCGAAGAAGUAUUUCGGUAUGUAAAGCUCUAUCAGCAGGGAAGAAAAUGACGGUACCUGACUAAGAAGCCCGGCUAACUACGUG